rnacentral:SRP_RNA from 1 species
GGGCAAUGUCCGACCUCCAAAUUGUGUCAGGACCGGAAGGUAGCAGCACUAAGGUUGCUUGGGCAUGUGCCUUUUU